rnacentral:lncRNA from 1 species
GGAGAGUCCAACUGGGUGCCAGUGAGCAUGUGUGCUGCCAUUACUCAUGUGAUCAUUAAGAGCCACAUCUCCAAGAGGAGGCAUGAGGAAAUCAGAAGAGGGAGCUCUGACUGUGCUAAUAUGGCCAUACUGGGACUUGUGUUGGAGAUUAUGGAUGUGUUUGUGGAGGGUUCAGAGCAGUAUAAGAAGCUGAAAUAUCCCUGGGUGUAUGCAGCCCUGCUCAGCAACAACUCAA